rnacentral:rRNA from 1 species
GGCUCGAGGACGAACGCUGGCGGCGUGCUUAACACAUGCAAGUCGAACGGUAAGGCCCUUCGGGGUACACGAGUGGCGAACGGGUGAGUAACACGUGGGUGAUCUGCCCUGCACUUUGGGAUAAGCCUGGGAAACUGGGUCUAAUACCGAAUAGGACCAUGGACUUCACGGUUUGUGGUGGAAAGCUUUUGCGGUGUGGGAUGGGCCCGCGGCCUAUCAGCUUGUUGGUGGGGUAAUGGCCUACCAAGGCGACGACGGGUAGCCGGCCUGAGAGGGUGACCGGCCACACUGGGACUGAGAUACGGCCCAGACUCCUACGGGAGGCAGCAGUGGGGAAUAUUGCACAAUGGGCGCAAGCCUGAUGCAGCGACGCCGCGUGAGGGAUGACGGCCUUCGGGUUGUAAACCUCUUUCAGCACAGACGAAGCGCAAGUGACGGUAUGUGCAGAAGAAGGACCGGCCAACUACGUG